AAGGGGAGGAGGAGAAAGGCAGAGGUCAAGUCCCUGCCUUGUGGGGCCCGUGUGAAUGUGGCAGAUAGAGAAGUUCCGGCCCUGAAGGAGACACCUCAGUCCUCUCCAGAAGGAGAAGGAGACAGAACAGACACAGCUCUGGGCUGCAUGCAGGGACAGCCUUGAUCCUGGUCCCCAGCAGGGACACCUCCAGGGUCUGCACUUAGGCUCUGUAAAGUGCAGACUCAGAUCAGAAAAGAAGGCAGAGAUUCCUGGCAAGGAGAGAGAAGUGAUCACACACAGUGGACAGCACAGACCAAUGGAGAGCCCCUCAGAAACUCCCCAGAGUGGGGGCAGCCCCUGGAAGGGGCUUCUGAUCACAGCCUCCAUCCUCAGCGACUGGAUCCAGCCAACAUCUGCCCAAAGUGAUUCCGUCAGUGUUGUGCCAAACCCACCCUAUGGGGCAGUGGGCAGCAGUGUCACCUUGGACAUCCAGGGGUCCUCAGAGCAGACUCCCAGCUAUACUUGGUACAGAGGGGCAGUAGGCCCCUCCAACGAGAUCGCUUUCUACCAGGUUGCUAGUGGACAGCUGACAUCAGCAGAUAGCCGGCUGAACGUGUUCUCCAAUGGCUCCCUGAUCAUCCGUGACCUCAUCCUCAAUGACACUGGUGACUACUUCGUACAAUUUCUUGAUCCCACAAGCAGCAAGAUAGUAACAGCAGAAGGAUAUUUAGCCGUGUAUGCAGAAAAGUCUACAGGAGGAAGUAAAGGUUCCUCACUCUCUGGAGGGGCCAUCACCAGCACUGUGAUUGCAGUCCUAGCUGGAGUCGCUCUCAUUGGGGCCCUCAUCUAUUUCCUGUUCUUUAUAAAGACUGGAAGGGCCAGCAAACUCCACCUUUUAGAGAAGAACCACUCAACACCCAAACAUGAUAAGAAGACCAUGAAGCCUCACAGGAUUCAACUCAGAUAAGAAUCUUCCAUUUGAUUUACUUCAAACAGUAUUUAUUAACAUGGACCCCCAUUAGGCACUGUCAAAGCCCCUCAUAUUUAGAGGAGUAAGAAUAAAGUUGCCCUUUGUUCAGGUCCAGGACUGGUGACGUUCAACACUCUCCACUCCCUUUUCUACUACCGUGCUCCCAUUCUGACUCUGUGCUUAAUACUUGUGUGACCCUGGGGAAUAUCCCUAUGCCACAAUUUCCUCAUGUAUGGAGAGAGCUGGAGGAGCUGGCCUCCACAGUCACUUCCACCUCAACAUCUAUGCUUCUAAAUUACUGCUCAAAUGUGUCCUCUUCAGGUGUUUGUUGAGUGGGUGGGGGUGGGAAGGAGGAAGAGUCACACCAUCAUGGACUUCAGGCUCGGGAUACUCCAAGGAAAUCUUCUGUCUGGGUUUUUCUCCCUCCAGGUGAGGCCAACACCCUUUAUGAGAAUACUGUUUGCCCAAAAGGCUCAGCUCUGCCUGCACAGGGUCUGGGAUCCUCCUCUGCUUCUCCUGAAAUCCCAUC